rnacentral:tRNA from 1 species
AAAAAGAUAAGCUAAGUAAAGCUAAUGGGUUCAUACCCCACUUAUGAUUUAAAUCUCUUUUUA